UGGCCCUACGGGGGGCAGCAGUGAGGAAUAUUGGUCAAUGGGCGGGAGCCUGAACCAGCCAAGUCGCGUGAGGGAAGACGGUCCUACGGAUUGUAAACCUCUUUUGCCGGGGAGCAACGGGGUCCUUGCGAGGUCCCAAUGAGAGUACCCGGAGAAAAAGCAUCGGCUAACUCCGUGCCAGCAGCCGCGGUAAUACGGAGGAUGCGAGCGUUAUCAGGAUUUAUUGGGUUUAAAGGGUGCGUAGGCGGGCUGUUAAGGCAGCGGUCAAAUGCCGGGGCUCAACCCCGGC
rnacentral:rRNA from 1 species